UCACACUCAGUCCAAGGCAGGGCUCCUCUCAAUCGAGCUCCUGGCCGUCCCUCACCUGCGUCCAGCCACCGCCUCAUUUCACCGUCGUCGUUCCUUCGAGCAGCCACCGUCUGGUCGCUCACUUUCCCUCCCAUCGCACAGCCAUCGCAACCUUCCUCCGUCGCGCAGCCACCCUACCGCCAGCACUAGCUCUGUUCCUCUGCAACGUUUGAAGCCCGUUCGAAGUCCAUCGCGCAGCCACGCUUCCUUGUCUUGGUCACUCGGUGUUUCUGUCUCCCUCUUGCAUGCUCUGUUGAAGGCUUCUUCUAGCUUCUAGGAUAUUUGUCAGUUCAUUGUGAUGGUUCUUCAAGAUUUCCACUUCUGUCAUCAGGGUACCAAGUAUCUUAUCCACAUCUUGGUUCCCUUGCAAUACCACCUCGGUCAUUUGCUCUGUUGGCUUUGCUUUAGAAAUGCAUGCUUUUCUACCAUCAGCUUCUUAAUUUCAAUCCUAUGAACCUGAAUUUGCUUUGAUAAUGCAUGAUCCUUUUCAUCCUUUUGCCUUUGCAUAUUUUCAAGUUGUUUAGAUUUAACCUCAAGUUCUUGUGAUUCUUCAACCCUAGGUAUGAAUCUUUUUUUUGUAAUAAUAAUUGUUGAAACAUUGAUUAAUUGUUGGUUCUAAA